UACCUAAUAAUAAGGUAAUAGCAAUUGAUGAAGUAGAAGAUUCUAUGACAGGCUGAUGAUCGGUGUUGAUGCAAUGUGAUUUUUGCCCAGUGCUCUGAAUGUCAAAGUGAAGAAAUUCAACCAAGCGCGGGUAGACGGCGGGAGUAACUAUGACUCUCUUGUGACCGGACAAAAUCCCGUUUUAUUGAAAGCUUUUACUUAGCGGAACUUGCAGAUGAGCACCUGUCCUCAGCGGCUGAAUGAGAGAA
rnacentral:ncRNA from 1 species